rnacentral:rRNA from 1 species
AACGAACGCUGGCGGCAGGCCUAACACAUGCAAGUCGAACGCCCCGCAAGGGGAGUGGCAGACGGGUGAGUAACGCGUGGGAAUAUCCCCCUUAGUACGGAAUAGCCCAGGGAAACUUGGAGUAAUACCGUAUACGUCCGCAAGGAGAAAGAUUUAUCGCUGAGGGAUUAGCCCGCGUAGGAUUAGCUAGUUGGUGAGGUAAUGGCUCACCAAGGCUACGAUCCUUAGCUGGUUUGAGAGAAUGACCAGCCACACUGGGACUGAGACACGGCCCAGACUCCUACGGGAGGCAGCAGUGGGGAAUCUUGGACAAUGGGCGCAAGCCUGAUCCAGCCAUGCCGCGUGAGUGACGAAGGCCUUAGGGUUGUAAAGCUCUUUUACCAGGGACGAUAAUGACGGUACCUGGAGAAUAAGUCCCGGCUAACUUCGUGCCAGCCGCCGCGGUAACAC